rnacentral:rRNA from 1 species
GAGUUUGAUCUUGGCUCAGAACGAACGCUGGCGGCAUGCCUAACACAUGCAAGUCGAACGAGACCUUCGGGUCUAGUGGCGCACGGGUGCGUAACGCGUGGGAAUCUGCCCUUGGGUUCGGAAUAACAGUUAGAAAUGACUGCUAAUACCGGAUGAUGACUUCGGUCCAAAGAUUUAUCGCCCAAGGAUGAACCCGCGUAGGAUUAGCUUGUUGGUGAGGUAAAAGCUCACCAAGGCGACGAUCCUUAGCUGGUCUGAGAGGAUGAUCAGCCACACUGGGACUGAGACACGGCCCAGACUCCUACGGGAGGCAGCAGUGGGGAAUAUUGGACAAUGGGCGAAAGCCUGAUCCAGCAAUGCCGCGUGAGUGAUGAAGGCCUUAAGGGUUGUAAAAGCUCUUUUACCCGGGAUGAUAAUGACAGUACCGGGAGAAUAAGCCCCGGCU